UUUUUCCGAAGCUCCAUCCCAGUUUCACAGCAUCAUAGCUGGUCUAGUCAGUGAACUCUAUGACCAAUUAGAGUAUAAAACCUGGCAAAUGACCUAAGCUCAACAGUAUCCAAAACAUCAUUUAGGCAUUAGUUUCAUGAAAAUUGCUGCAAUCCCAAAAGAGAAAUGAGUGUUAGGAAAGCAGAAGUUUUUAAUUAAUUUUCUCGUAAAAUCCACAUUCAAUCACAGAUACAUUAAAUCUUCUAAACUUGAUGCUAACAGUAUCACCAGAACUCAAAGAACAAAUCUUUAUAAAUUUGCUGAUCAAUCUAUCAGAUAUGUGUAACAGUAAGGCAUCAGUAAAAUCUUGGAGGGUGUUAUGAGCAAACGUUUCUAGAUAUGUAAAAGUGUUCACAAGAAACCAAAGCUCAAAUCUUUAUAAUUUUGCCUCGCAGUCUAUCAAAUAUAUGCAACAGUGUGGAAUUAAAUCACAAAAGUUUUCCGUAAAAUAUUGGAGGGUGGACAUUGAUAAUUUAACGAGGAAGAGUUAUCUUACAUGCUUCUUCAUGUCAAAUCACCAAAUAUGAUUUUUCCCAGUUCAUUUCAUAAAAGAAAGACUUGGAACGUGUUACAGUAAAAGAGUUUCUAUAUAUAUAAAAGUGAUCACAAAAAUCAAAGACAAAACCUUUAACAUUUUGGCACUUAAUCCAUCAAAUAUAUGUAACUAGGCAUCAGUAAAUCGCAUAAAGCAUCAGUAACAGCUUGGAGGUUAGAAAGAUUAUCUUACAUGCUUCUUCGUCUAAUAAAAUCAGUAAAUCAACAAACAUGAUCCUCCCCUGUUCAUUUCAUACAACCAUGAUUGACCAGGAGUUGAAAAAAUAAACACUUCAGAAAAUCUUAUGAUUAAAGAUCCCAACUAUAACUAGAACUUGAAUCACAUAAAAAGGAUAAAAUAAAUUGUAUCUCUAACUGCAAUCUAAAUCAAACAUCGAUAAUUCAUUAUUGGCAUCACAAUACACAAAUCUCACUUCCAGCAUUCACUACUCAACUAAUGGAAACCUCCUAUGUCCCGUGAACUACUCCCUCCGCUCACUUCUACUUAUAAAUGUUUUGCUUCAGAAGAGUCAAUUUUACUAAUUUUCAGAGCUAUAUCGAAUUAGAUUAAUUCAAUAUUCUAAGUUCUAAAUUCCAAAGUUUGACAACUAUACUAAAAAUACUAUAAAUUGUAAUACUUUUCCAUAACAUUCUUCAAAAAAUAUUAGUCAAAAUCCCCAUAAUUUAACUCUCGAAAAGUAAACAAGUAACUAUAUUCAUGUAUGUGUGUGAGUCUAUAUAAAAACAAGAUCUAGCAAUUGAAUCACAUGCUCACCAAUCUACAAAGUCAGAUCCAGGCAAAUCCAAUCGGAAAUACAAAUUACAAAAUUCAUCCACAUAUACACACACACAAACAUAGUUAAUAAUCCGAAUCAAAUCGAACAAAUUAAACCUGAGUCGAAGCAAAUCACCAAUACUAGAUCGAUCUAAACCGAACCUAAAUUAGCUGAAAUCAAUCCGAAAUCUUCAAUUCACAGCUGUCUCCAAUUCAGUUGAUGCAAGGCAGGACCCAAAUUUCGCCGCUAAUCAAAAUAUAUUCGUCGUUGACAACUUAGUAGAAUUAACACCGCCGUCGUCCGUCAUUAUUUCCGGCGCCGGCGAAUGAGGUCCCGACCUGCACCAAGCGAAUAAGAGGCGGCCGCAAAAAAGUUAACUGAGCAAAGGGCAGAGACCAGAGUU
rnacentral:lncRNA from 1 species